rnacentral:rRNA from 1 species
CGGGAAGCACACCACCACCGUCAUCUCUGUCCACAUCGCCGCCGUCAUCACACCACCAUGGCCGGCGCUGGAUCGAGCUCAUCUGCACCUAAAGAAGGAGGCUUUCACUUGAUGAGUUGCCUAAAAAAAGUUCCGACAGUCAGAGGUGACAAUCACACUAAGUGGAGGAAGAAAGUUGAACUAGCAUUUGUCUGUGCUGAUCUGGACUGGGUUCUGGAUGAACCACAGCCGGUCAGACCUACAGAGCUAGUAAGAGAGACCACUGAUGAUGAUGCUGCAUGGGCUAAAAAGAGGGGGGAUUAUGCUCCUUUGGAGAUGUCCUACAUCAUAGACAACCAAAAGUGGGUCAAUGCAAACAAAAAGUGGAUGGCCUUCAUAAAGAAUACAAUUGAGAGCACCAUUGUGGACUCCAUUGCAGAGUGCACUUCCGCAGGGGAGGUGCUCACAAAAAUAAAGAGCCACUUCACUGGCUCUUCAAAGAUAUAUGCCACCCAGGUGUUAAAACAACUGGUGACAGAACAAUACAAAGGUGGUGGAAUAAGAGAGCACAUCCUCAGGGUGAGCAAUAUGGCAGCAAAGCUAAAGCCCAUGGAUGAGUAUCUGGAG